AGAGUUUGAUCCUGGCUCAGGAUGAACGCUAGCGACAGGCUUAACACAUGCAAGUCGAGGGGCAGCGAGGCGGUGCUUGCACCGCUGUCGGCGACCGGCGCACUGGUGAGUAACACGUAUGCGACCUGCCCCCUACAGGGGAAUAACCCGUAGAAAUGCGGCCUAAUUCCCCAUAGUCCCAAAGGCUGCAUGGCCUUUGGGGGAAAGGUUCACUCCGGUAGGGGAUGGGCAUGCGGCGCAUUAGCUAGUUGGCGGGGUAACGGCCCACCAAGGCGACGAUGCGUAGGGGUUCUGAGAGGAAGGUCCCCCACACUGGUACUGAGACACGGACCAGACUCCUACGGGAGGCAGCAGUGAGGAAUAUUGGUCAAUGGGCGAGAGCCUGAACCAGCCAAGUCGCGUGAGGGAAGACGGUCCUACGGAUUGUAAACCUCUUUUGUCGGGGAGUAAUAGGCGGGACGUGUCCUGCUGUGAGAGUACCCGAAGAAAAAGCAUCGGCUAACUCCGUGCCAGCAGCCGCGGUAAUACGGAGGAUGCGAGCGUUAUCCGGAUUUAUUGGGUUUAAAGGGUGCGCAGGCGGCGUGCCAAGUCAGCGGUCAAAGUUCCGGGCUCAACCCGGUGAUGCCGUUGAAACUGGUGUGCUUGAGUGCGUGCGAGGGAGGCGGAAUGCGUUGUGUAGCGGUGAAAUGCAUAGAUAUGACGCAGAACUCCGAUUGCGAAGGCAGCUUUCCAGCACGCCACUGACGCUGAGGCACGAAAGCGUGGGGAUCGAACAGGAUUAGAUACCCUGGUAGU
rnacentral:rRNA from 1 species